rnacentral:lncRNA from 1 species
ACUUCGACCUGAGCCCGAAAUCAUUGAAAAUAUUUUAGAAGGGUUAGAAAAUAAAUUGAGACAUUAUUUUAACUUAUAUCAAGUUGAAAAAGAAAAAAGAAGCAGUUCAGAAAAAAAUAAUUUUUAUUUAAAAAAAGAAAUACACAAUGCUUAUUCAUCAUUAGAUAAAAAUAAAUUAUAUACUGAAAAAUUAGAACAAAAACUUAAUAAUAUAAAAGAAAAUCAAAAUUCAUUAAUUGAUACAGUACGACGUAUAGACUUAUUAUAUAUACAACUAGAUACAUUAGUUCAGUCGUUUGCUGGUAUAUGUACUCAAGUAUUAGCUAGUAGUUCUAAUAGUCCUGCAAAAAUGUAUAAAAAAAGGAAUGUAAUAAAAAUGUUAUUAGAUUAUAUAUACCCUUGUAGGACAUUAGAUACACGUCUCAAUUCUUUAUAUGGUAUGUUAUAUUAUCAAUAUAUUGGUUUAAUGUCAGAUAAUGAUCAAAAUUUAAAAAAGUCAAUCCCGAUUAUACCACCUGUAAUGUCAAGUAAUCGAAGUGAUUGGUUACCUCCUCCACAUAGUAACGAGAGUUACCAUUACAAAAAUAGUAACAAUACAAAUAAUUAUUUAUAUAGUAAUAGUACAAAUAAUAAUGAAAAAAAUUAUAUGAAUGAUAAUAAUAGUAAUAAUAAAAAAGACUUUUCCAAUUUAGUAAAAAAUUAUAACCAAAACAAUAAUAAUGGAUUGUCUGUAAAUUACAAAUCGAAUGACGUUAGAGAUAGGAAAACAAAAAACAAUACAAAUAAAAAUAUGAACAGUAGUGACUAUACUAGUAGUGAUUAUAAUAAUGAUAAUGAAAAUAGAAAAGAUAAAUCAAAUAAACAUAUGAAUAAGCUAGUAAAAUUACCAACAGGCUAUCCAAGAUAUAGUAAUACAACUAAUAGUAUUAGAAAAGACAUAAAUGAUAGAGAGUACAUAAAAAAUAGUUUGUUAAAUAAUGGUCCUAUAAAUGAUGCUGAUAUAAAUGUAUCUAAAAGUCAUACAGUUAGUACAAAUAGUAGUUUUUCAGGAAAUCAGGCUAUUAAUGAAAAUUUAGUUUUUAAGGAUUUACAAGGAUUUGAUAUAAAAAUAAGUGAAAUUGAAUUAACAUAUCCAAAAAAAGAUGCACGUAUUAUAUGUGUUGUAAGAUAUGACAACGAAAGUGUUAUAUCAGCAUUACAAAAUAAUAAAAGAAUAACAAAAAUAAAAAAUGUUGAAAAAUCAACCAAAUCAGAGCAUUUACAUUGUGAUGUAGAUAGUACUAUUCAUUUAGAUUCAUUACCAGAAAAAAAUACAGGUGUCGUUCCAAGUUUUAUGAUAGAUAUACAUGAUGUAAGUGAUAAAAUUUUAAUUGGAACAUCUAAAUGUUCAUUUAUUAGUGCACGGACACUACAGAGUAAUGCGUCUUGGUAUAUAUAUUCAAGAACAAAUAAAAAUAAUGUUGAAAAAAUUGGAAAAAUAUAUGUUACUGUGUUACCAUAUCCACGUGAUGUUAAGCUACCUGUACAUUUAUUUAAAAAUGUUGUGCUAUCGAAAUUAUCAUCUUCAGAUGAUUCUCAUAGUCCGCUUAAGUCUUCUUAUUGGAUGAGUAAAAAUAAAACUUCAUUAAAACAUACUGAUAUGCAAAAAGAAAAACACAUGUCAAGCAAAAAUGAAAUUUCUCCAAGUAAACAAAAUGGUACUGAAAAAAAAGCAUUGAAUUUUAAAACUCAGGGAAAAGUAGCAAAUGGUAGUAUUAAAGCAGGUACCGUAGUAAAAAUAGGAAAGAAGGUUACAUUCAAACAGUAUGUGUCUAAGAAUGAAGUACAUGGUAAGGAGUAGUGCGUGUAUAUGUGUGGAAGUGCGUGUGUACAUUCGUAUGUUCAUGCAUAACCAGAUGAAAAAAAAAAAAAAAAAAAAGAAUAACAUAUCAGUUUAUAUACA